CGUAAUAAUAGAAACUAACCAGGAUUCCCUUAGUAACGGCGAGUGAACUGGGAUACCAAUAUACCAUCUGUGCGUACCUUGGUGCGUACAAAUUUUAGCCCGUCGAUACUAUCCUAGCAUAGUACUGGCUUCGGCCGGUAACCUAUCUAUGCGGGAAUUGUAGCAUCGUACAACAAAUAUAUUAUACACACUGUAUAUAUAUACGCGCAUUGCAACACACACAUAUAUUUUUAUGCGUACACUUACUUUCAUAAACACACAGCGCUCCCGCGUUGGAAAGCAAGUCUAUAUCCUUUUUGGGUAUGCCAUAGAGUGUGACAGCCACGUUUCAACUCUUACGUACGUACGCACUGCAUACGCGUUAUAUAUACACACACGUAUUUUAUAUAACCUGAGUCGAGUUAUUU
rnacentral:rRNA from 1 species